rnacentral:other from 1 species
UAUCCCCUGCGAUGUUCGUGAUUAAGAUGAGUCUUUGAGCCAACACAUUGAAGCCCGGGGGCCUUUAAUUGCGUGUGGUGUGCAUGUCUGAAUCUCCCUCGGAGAUCCAGAAAGCCUGAAGCCGCAACAGGGCGCCCACCUUUUAUAAAGGUUCAAAGGGUUUAUUAACACGGCAUAAGCGGGGGACUU